AGGGGGACAACAGUUGGAAACGACUGCUAAUACCGCAUGAAGCAUAGGGGUCGCAUGAUCCUUAUGCCAAAGAUUUAUCGCUUCAAGAUGGCCUCGCGUCUGAUUAGCUGGUUGGCGGGGUAACGGCCCACCAAGGCGACGAUCAGUAGCCGGACUGAGAGGUUGAACGGCCACAUUGGGACUGAGAUACGGCCCAGACUCCUACGGGAGGCAGCAGUGGGGAAUAUUGGGCAAUGGGCGCAAGCCUGACCCAGCAACGCCGCGUGAAGGAAGAAGGCUUUCGGGUUGUAAACUUCUUUUAAGAGGGAAGAGCAGAAGACGGUACCUCUAGAAUAAGCCACGG
rnacentral:rRNA from 1 species